rnacentral:tRNA from 1 species
GCUCCAGUGGCGCAGUCGGUUAGCGCAUGGUACUUAUAGGACAGUAUUCAUAUUGAUCAAAGAAAAACAUUACCUGGAUCGAAUAAGGAAUGCCGAGGUCGCGAGUUCGAGCCUCGCCUGGAGCA